rnacentral:rRNA from 1 species
GAGUUUGAACCUGGCUCAGGAUGAACGCUGGCGGCGUGCUUGACACAUGCAAGUCGAACGGACCCAUAUUGAAACCUAGUGAUAUAUGGGUUAGUGGCGGACGGGUGAGUAACGCGUGGGUAACCUGCCUUACACAGGGGGAUAACACUUAGAAAUAGGUGCUAAAACCACAUAAGCGCACAGCUUCGCAUGAAGCGGUGUGAAAAACUCCGGUGGUGUAAGAUGGACCCGCGUCUGAUUAGCUUGUUGGCGGGGUAACGGCCCACCAAGGCGACGAUCAGUAGCCGGCCUGAGAGGGCGGACGGCCACAUUGGGACUGAGACACGGCCCAGACUCCUACGGGAGGCAGCAGUGGGGAAUAUUGCACAAUGGGGGAAACCCUGAUGCAGCGACGCCGCGUGAGUGAAGAAGUAAUUCGUUACGUAAAGCUCUAUCAGCAGGGAAGAAAAUGACGGUACCUGAGUAAGA